UGGGGAAUCUUGCCCAAUGGGCGAAAGCCUGAGGCAGCGACGCCGCGUGAGGGAAGAAGGCCUUCGGGUUGUAAACCUCUUUCAGGAGGGACGAAGCCACUCGGGUUAAUAGCCCAGAGGGUGACGGUACUUCCAGAAGAAGCCCCGGCUAACUACGUGCCAGCAGCCGCGGUAAUACGUAGGGGGCAAGCGUUGUCCGGAUUUACUGGGCGUAAAGAGCGUGUAGGCGGCCAGACAGGUCUGUUGUGAAAACUGGAGGCUUAACCUCCAGACGUCGACAGAAACCGUUUGGCUAGAGUCCGGAAGAGGAGAGUGGAAUUCCUGGUGUAGCGGUGAAAUGCGCAGAUAUCAGGAAGAACACCAAUGGCGAAGGCAGCUCUCUGGGACGGUACUGACGCUGAGACGCGAAAGCGUGGGGAGCGAACAGG
rnacentral:rRNA from 1 species